rnacentral:rRNA from 1 species
UACGGAGGAUGCAAGCGUUAUCCGGAAUUAUUGGGCGUAAAGCGUCCGCAGGUGGCACUUCAAGUCUGUCGUCAAAGACCGGGGCUUAACCCUGGAAAGGCGAUGGAAACUGAAAGGCUAGAGAGAGGUAGGGGUAGAGGGAAUUCCCAGUGUAGCGGUGAAAUGCGUAGAGAUGGGGGAGAACACUCGUGGCGAAGGCGGCCAGCUAGACCAGUUCUGACACUGAGGCGCGAUAGCGUGGGGAGCAAACAGG